AAAUUGAAGAGUUUGAUCAUGGCUCAGAUUGAACGCUGGCGGCAGGCCUAACACAUGCAAGUCGAACGGUAGCACAGAGAGCUUGCUCUCGGGUGACGAGUGGCGGACGGGUGAGUAAUGUCUGGGAAACUGCCUGAUGGAGGGGGAUAACUACUGGAAACGGUGGCUAAUACCGCAUAACGUCGCAAGACCAAAGAGGGGGACCUUCGGGCCUCUUGCCAUCAGAUGUGCCCAGAUGGGAUUAGCUUGUUGGUGAGGUAACGGCUCACCAAGGCGACGAUCCCUAGCUGGUCUGAGAGGAUGACCAGCCACACUGGAACUGAGACACGGUCCAGACUCCUACGGGAGGCAGCAGUGGGGAAUAUUGCACAAUGGGCGCAAGCCUGAUGCAGCCAUGCCGCGUGUAUGAAGAAGGCCUUCGGGUUGUAAAGUACUUUCAGCGGGGAGGAAGGUGUUGUGGUUAAUAACCACA
rnacentral:rRNA from 1 species